CAAACUCAACUUCAAACUCUCUCAACUUUUUUUCUCUACACCAAGUCAAAACUCAAUCAACAAGGCUCAAGGAAACUUCAAUCAACAUCUGUAACAUCAGAAACAACAUUAGAAACAUCAAUUUCAUACGAUAGACUGAGGCACGAAAGAGUUGCUCAACACACAUCAGUGCAGCGGAAGAAAAGUCAACAGGUUUCAGAGGCUCCUAGUCCCUCUGGCACCAGGUACCCGAUUCUCCAGUGCCACCUCCUAAUGUAUAUGCUUUUGAGUUUGUGCCACCUCUUACUCCUGAUGUUGUUGAUCCAAUGCCACCUCUAGUGGUUGCGGGUGCUGAGCCAGAGGCAUUUGGAGGAGGCCUUUUUGAUUUGUCAUUACUGCCUCUGUACCUAGACCAUAUUGCCAGACAUAUAUGGGAAGGAGAGGUAGCAUUAGUUCAAUUCAUUCUUUUUUUAUUUACGUUAAUUUUAAUUGACAAAUGUCUGACAUUGCUUUUUUUUCAUAAGCGUA